GGCGGCAGGCUUAACACAUGCAAGUCGAGCGGUAGCAGAUCUAGCUUGCUAGAUGCUGACGAGCGGCGGACGGGUGAGUAACGCGUAGGAACCUGCCCAGUAGUGGGGGAUAGCCCGGGGAAACUCGGAUUAAUACCGCAUACGCUCUACGGAGGAAAGAGGGGCUUCGGCUCUCGCUAUUGGAUGGGCCUGCGUGAGAUUAGCUAGUUGGUGAGGUAAUGGCUCACCAAGGCGACGAUCUCUAGCUGGUCUGAGAGGAUGAUCAGCCACACUGGGACUGAGACACGGCCCAGACUCCUACGGGAGGCAGCAGUGGGGAAUAUUGCACAAUGGGCGCAAGCCUGAUGCAGCCAUGCCGCGUGUGUGAAGAAGGCUUUCGGGUUGUAAAGCACUUUCAGUGGGGAGGAAGGCCUCGUAGUUAAUAGCUGCGAGGAUUGACGUUACCCACAGAAGAAGCACCGGCUAGCUCCGUG
rnacentral:rRNA from 1 species